ACGCUCGACACCUACGGGAGGCAGCAGUGGGGAAUAUUGCACAAUGGGGGAAACCCUGAUGCAGCGACGCCGCGUGAGUGAAGAAGUAUUUCGGUAUGUAAAGCUCUAUCAGCAGGGAANAAAAUGACGGUACCUGACUAAGAAGCCCCGGCUAACUACGUGCCAGAAGCCGCGGUAAUCUGAGCGGGCUGGCAAGGC
rnacentral:rRNA from 1 species